CAAUAGCGUAUAUUAAUGCUGCUGCGGUUGAAACGCUCGUAGUUGGACAUUGGGGCGUGCGUUGGGGGCGGCCUCCGGGCCGUUUACCCGACGGGUGCUCUUAUGCAGGUAAAAGCUCCCGCAAGGGGGCGUUAUCUGCCGGUUACUUUGAAGAAAUUAGAGUGUUCAAAGCAGGCCAACGCCUUGAAUACGACAGCAUGGAAUAACACAAUAUGACUUUGGUCUUGUUGUUGGUUUCCGAGAUCAGUGUAAUGAUUAAUGGGGACAGUUGGGGGCAUUCAUAUUUGGCUGUCAGAGGUGAAAUUCUUGGAUUAGCCAAAGAUGAACAACUGCGAAAGCAUUUGCCAAGGAUGUUUUCAUUAA
rnacentral:rRNA from 1 species